GCUGGUGUGGUGUAGUGGUUAGCAUGCUUCGUCAACACCGAAGCGACCCUGGUUCGAAUCCAGGCACCAGUA
rnacentral:tRNA from 1 species